CACACCAGCCCCCGGGAGCGGACUUCCGGCGGGUGGACCCACGGCGCUGCCCGAGGCGCAGCGGACCUGACUCCAACCCCAAUCCCUGGAGCUCGACCCCGGGAGUGCGACCCAGGGGACACCGAGCCCCUGCAGCCCCGCGGGCACCAGCGCGCUGGGUCCCCUUAUCCCUGACCGGAGCCUCCCUCCCGCCCCGCCGGGUGCUAAGGCCGCGCCAGUGAGAGACGGACCCGGCGUCCACACACAGGCCCAUGUGACCCUGUCUACUGAGAGGGCUAGGAAGCCGCAUGCCUCCUACAACAACCAGAAGCCAACAAGCGAGUCUCCUCUCUCAACAAGAAAAGGAAAACGAAGUCUCCAGUAGGUCAGAUAACUACCAAUGCCACCCGGCUGAUGACAGCAGAACUGGCUUCCAGGAUUGGCUACCGUUUCUGAAGUCCACAUAACCUGCCAGUCUGUCCAGAAGGAGCCACAGACAGGUCUGCGGAGGGGCACCCACGGGAAUGAAGCGUCCCCUCCUGGAUUCCCCCGGCCGCCAGCCUUAACAAUGCCGGCUGGGCUUUCAGACUCCAUCUGCGGAGCCACACCCCGGAGUGCAAUGGCGUAGAGAGGCAGGAAAACCUCUGGGAUCCCCCGACAGCAGCAGCAAUGGAGCCGGCCUCAGAGGCUGCCCUGCCUCUGCCCUAAUUCAUGUUGGCCUCUUCAGCGCAACUGAAACUUACAAGGCAGAAUGAAAUGAGCCUGGCUCCUGAUCUGUGUUGGAACAAACCCCCAAGGGCAUCCUCAGCCGGCGGGAGUGCUGGGCCUGGCCACACGGGCUGAGCACAGGGCUUCAUCUCACACGUGGGGACACAGCCGUGAAAAGAUUCACGGAGGAAGCAGCCUCCACCAAGCGGGCUUUCUCAGCAGCUAUUUCAUCAUUAUAAUAAAAGCCACUUGCAUUGCACAAGCUCACAAUAACAUAGAUAAAAAAAGGUAACACGGAGCAGUCUCUGGCGGAGGAAGUGCCCUGUGACACCUCUAUUGGCUAUGAGUAGUCUGGGAGGACUAGUAAGAAAAAAGAUUUUUAAAAAAUGAAGAAACCACCAAACAAAAGUUAAGCAGGGUUCACAGUUACGGAGCCACUGUGCUGGAGAGUGUUCCACGAAGCCAAUGGGGAUGGCCAGGGAGAUACUGCACAGAGACCUGCCCACCGCCCAGCCCUAGCAGGCCCGGGUCUGCAUGUUCACACUGCGCCCUGGGCAGAAGCCCGCUCCCCUCCUGCCUGGGACUUCACAGGCUCUGCAGGGAGACGGUGGAGGCGAUCGAGUUACACAUGGACACGUACUCUGAGCUUGUGGGAAGGAAAUGCCUCGUGAAUUCCAAAUAUAAUUAGUAGAAUAUCAUUCAAGGAAAAGACAUCAUAAGGUUUAAUUGUUUCCUGCUCUCCUUAGUCCCCUCUUCUGAUUAUGGUGACUUUACAUAUUCCUUAGUGAAAUGAAAAGAACGUGGGGUAUGGAGGAAGGACCUUUGGGCUCACGGUCCAGCAGGAAAACUCAGUAGCCGUGUGGCCUGCGCAGGAGCCGUAACCCCUGGGACCUCAGCAGGCUGUGCCGCCUAAGAGUGUCGGGACUCACCAGGGUGUCCUGAGGACUGGAAGCCGUGACUCUGGUGGAUGGUCUCCGUGGAGUCUAACACCCCACACAAAUCCCACUGUCACCUCCCUUUUCUCUCCCUCCCCACCUCCUCCAGGGCCCUGGUGGCUGCUAUUGUUUAGUAUCUUUUCCAGGUGUGGUUAUGAUAUCACCUUCGCACUGUCCUCUUGGAGUCACUGAAAAGGUUCCUGGGAUGGGAGAGCUGAAAGGAGCCUUAGGAAUUUUCUAGAACCAUCAUCCCACACCACCACCCACUUCAGUAGGAGAACAGAGGUUCCAAGUCACAGGGCACGCUGGUGGCAGACCCAGGUCUCCUGACUGGCUACAGCGCCCCCCAGCCCCAGCCUUCCCCGUCUCCUCCCACCUCGCAGUGGCCCCACCUUGGCCUGCCCCGCCAUGAAGCAGAAUUCCCCCUUUCAAGGGUGCCCUGAAGCCCCCAUGGCAAGCCUUUAAGAAGGAUUACCCACUUUAUUCAAUAAAGAGGAGAACACAGAGCGCUGAGGUACCUUGGCAUUCUGCAGAGGGGGCUGGUAACUGGACGGCCGGUAGAACAUCCUCUGGGUGGCGUCAGUGUGAAUGUCACCAAGGAAGAGCUCCUCGACCAGGUGGUCGAGGUUGUGGUGAAGGUACUGCUUCUCCACCCGGAUGAGCUGAAGCUCAUG